rnacentral:rRNA from 1 species
GAUGAACGCUGGCGGCGUGCUUAAUACAUGCAAGUCGAGCGAACAGACGCGGAGCUUGCUCCUCUGACGUUAGCAACGGACGGGUAAGUAACAAGUAACCAACCUACCUAUAAGACUGGGAUCACUUAGGGAAACUGGAGUUCCUACCGGGUACUAUAUCGACCCGCAUGGUUCUAUAGUGAAAGAUGGUUUUGCUGUCACUUCUAGAUGGAUCCGCGCGGCAUUAGCUGGUUGGUAGGGUAACGCCUUAACAAGGCAACGAUGCGUAGCCGACCGGAGAGGGGGAUCGGCCACCCUGGAGCUGGAACACGGUCCAGGCGCCUGCGAGAGGCAGCAGUAGGGAAUCGUCCGCAAUGGUCGAGAGCUUGACGGAGCAGCGCCGCGUGAGUGAUGAAGGUCUUCGGAGCGUAAAACUCGGUUAUUAGUUAAGAACAAAUGUGUAAGUAACUAUACACGACUUGACGGUACCUGAACAGAAAGCCACGGCUAACUACGUG